rnacentral:rRNA from 1 species
UAAGGAAUAUUGGUCAAUGGUGGGAACACUGAACCAGCCAUCCCGCGUGCAGGACGAAGGCCCUCUGGGUUGUAAACUGCUUUUACCAGGAAAGAAACGAGUGGAUUCAUCCGCUCCUGACGGUACCUGGGGAAUAAGCACCGGCUAACUCCGUGCCAGCAGCCGCGGUAAUACGGAGGGUGCAAGCGUUAUCCGGAAUCACUGGGUUUAAAGGGUGCGUAGGCGGCUUGAUAAGUCAGGGGUGAAAGCUCACCGCUCAACGGUGGAACUGCCCUUGAUACUGUCAGGCUCGAAUUGGGUUGAGGCAGGCGGAAUGUGGCAUGUAGCGGUGAAAUGCUUAGAUAUGCCAUAGAACACCGAUUGCGAAGGCAGCCUGCCAAGCCUUGAUUGACGCUGAGGCACGAAAGCGUGGGGAGCGAACAGG